CGGAGGGGGCCAGCGUUGUUCGGAAUCAUUGGGCGUAAAGGGCGCGUAGGUGGCCAUGCAAGUCGGAGGUGAAAGCCCUCGGCUCAACUGAGGAACUGCCUCCGAUACUGCAUGGCUUGAGUCCCGGAGAGGGUGGUGGAAUUCCCAGUGUAGCGGUGAAAUGCGUAGAUAUUGGGAGGAACACCGGUGGCGAAGGCGGCCACCUGGACGGGUACUGACGCUGAUGCGCGAAAGCGUGGGGAGCAAACAGGAUUAGAUACCCUGGUAGUCCACGCCGUAAACGAUGGGUACUUGGUGUUGCGGGUAUCGACCCCCGCAGUGCCGAAGCUAACGCAUUAAGUACCCCGCCUGGGGAGUACGGUCGCAAGGCUG
rnacentral:rRNA from 1 species